rnacentral:piRNA from 1 species
UCCACCAUUUCAGGAAAAGGGGGAUGUCCCUU